UAAGACAGUGCAAGGAGACUUCUAAAAAUGUUCUGCUUGGGGAAGGGGGGAGGAUUUUUUUUAAUUGCAUUUAGAACAGGGUUGCUGUGCUGUAGUACGCAUAUCACUUUGAAUCUAGAUACCCAAAAGACAAAUACUGCUUGAUCUGUGUGUUUCAGGCGAAGGAAAACAACUCAAGAUUAGAACAGAUGGACGUUUUCUAGAGAUUACCCCGGGGCCUGUGGCAUACUAAAGCUAAGGCCAAGUAACAGAGCAGACAACCACCUUCCCUUAGGACUACAGAUCUCAAUCACUAACCAAUUUUGCAACUACAUAAUGAUGCCAGCCUUCUUUGAAAAACACUGACUGAGCAGCUUCCUUCAACAUGCAAAACUGAUUAAAGGGAAUGAGGACAAAGCUUAUCAGCACAGAUCCAACCAAAACAUGUUUGUAUUGAAUGCUGGCCUCCCAAGAAUGCAAUUCUGGAAGACUGACUUUAUUCUCAGCAAUAUAUAUCCACCUACCCAGCAGCGAGCUACAUUCCUAUGCAGGGAGAAGCCACCCAAGAGAGUCCAAAAGUGCACAACAAGGUAAACGGUAUGCUGUAAUGUAUUUAACAACAGAUAAGGCAGAAAAACAGAAAAGGGGAAAAAUCCAGUUCUCAACAGAGCACUACUGAUUAUUAAGAAUCAGAAAGGAAAUUUUCUCCUGCUUCACCCUACAUAAAUCACUGUGAAUUAUCUACAACCCUAGCCAGAAACUGCUUUCAAUGAAAUCCUGGGGGAUAAGCCUUAAAAAAAAAAAAAAGUCUAGCUACAACAGCUGCACUUCCAUUGGCAAUGGUUCUUCUUUUACUCUCCUUCUGCCAUUAUUUAUCUCUUAUAUUUAAUGUUCAUAAAGUGUUCUGGGUAUAAGCAGUCUGUUUUGAAAAACACCUUACAAGAUAAAGUUAUAUUAAAGCUAUUUCGCUUGAUGGGCUCACGCUGGCUUAAACAGAACCAAUACACUGGGGACAUACAAUCCUAGGCUAUAAUAAUGUUUUACAUUUAUAUACUGCCUUUCACCCAGAACUCCAGAAUUUAUAAUACAUGAAAUGCCAAAGAAUGACAAAUGUAAACUGCACAACAGAGACUAGAGGUCCAUUUGGCAAGGACAUUGUGGUAGAUCCUACCUCUCACAAAGAAUUUCAGGGUAUUUCUGAUAGCUGCACUAAGCAGAACUCAGGGGGCCAGUAAACAGACAUGUAAUUGGAUUAGAGGUACUUUCCCUGCUUUGUCACCAAGAACUAUUUGGUUAGGAAAGCUUCUCAGUAUCUAAGCAUCUGAAAUUGUCAAUCUGUAAAGCACAAAUUAUACUCCAAUUCAACACCCACAGUCAGCAUGCUGUCUUACUUAGCGUAAGACUGUAAAAAACACGUGCACCAGCACACACCAGGUGAUACUCAACUAUGAGCUG